rnacentral:rRNA from 1 species
AGAGUUUGAUCCUGGCUCAGAAUGAAUGUUGGCGGCGUGGAUUAGGCAUGCAAGUCGAGCGAACAGAGGGGGCUUGCCCCCAAAGUGAGCGGCGAAAGGGAGAGGAAUAUAUGGAUUAUCUGCCCUCAGGAUCGGGAUAGCUACGGGAAACUGUAGGUAAUACCGAAUAAUAUCUCCGGAUCAAAGGUGAGAUUCCGCCUGAGGAUGAGUUCAUAUCCUAUUAGCUUGUUGGUGGGGUAACGGCCUACCAAGGCUAAGAUGGGUACCGGGCGUGAGAGCGUGACCCGGCUCACUGGGACUGACACACUGCCCAGACACCUACGGGUGGCUGCAGACAAGAAUCUUCGGCAAUGGACGAAAGUCUGACCGAGCGACGCCGCGUGUGUGACGAAGGCCAUUUGUGUUGUAAAGCACUUUCGUUUGGGAGGAAGUGUACGGGGGUUCUCCCCUGUACUUGACCUAUCUUAGGAAGAAGGACGGGCUAAGUUCGUGCCAGCAGCCGCGGUAAGACGAACCGUCCAAACAUUAUUCGGAUUCACUGGGCUUAAAGGGUGCGUAGGCUGUACGUUAAGUGGGAUGUGAAAUCCCUCAGCUCAACUGAGGAAUUGCGUUUCAAACUGACGAACUGGAGGAAGGUAGGGGUUAGCGGAACUUGCGGUGGAGUGGUGAAAUGCUUUGAUAUCGCAAGGAACACCGGCGGCGAAGGCGGCUUACUGGGCUUCAACUGACGCUUAAGCGCGAAAGCUAGGGUAGCGAAAGGGAUUAGAUACCCCGGUAGUCCUAGCCGUAAACUCUGAAAAGGGGUUCGAGGGAGUUUUUCUUUCUCGAGCGUAGCGAAAAGUUUUUAAGCGCUCCGCCUGGGGAGUAUGGUCGCAAGGCUGAAACUCAAAGGAAUUGACGGGGGCUCACACAAGCGGUGGAGGAUGUGGCUUAAUUCGAGGCUACGCGAAGAACCUUAUCCUAGGCUUGACAUGCAUGGAUACCCUCCCUGAAAGGGGAGUAAGUUGCUAGCAAUAGUGAAACUUGCACAGGUGCUGCAUGGCUGUCGUCAGCUCGUGUCGUGAGACGUCGGGUUAAGUCCCUUAACGAGCGAAACCCCUAUCGUUAGUUGCCAUCAUUUAGUUGGGCACUUUAGCGAGACUGCCUAAGUUAAUGCGGAGGAAGGCGGGGACGACGUCAAGUCCUCAUGGCCCUUAUGCCUAGGGCUGCACACGUCCUACAAUGGAUUCCACAAAGGGAAGCGACACUGUGAAGUCGAGCAAAUCCCCAAAAAGGAUCCUCAGUUCGGAUUGUAGUCUGCAACUCGACUACAUGAAGCCGGAAUCGCUAGUAAUCGCGGGUCAGCAUACCGCGGUGAGUGUGUUCCUGAGCCUUGUACUCACCGCCCGUCA